GUAGCUGGUCUGAGAGGAUGGCCAGCCACACUGGAACUGAGACACGGUCCAGACUCCUACGGGAGGCAGCAGUGGGGAAUAUUGGACAAUGGGGGCAACCCUGAUCCAGCAAUGCCGCGUGUGUGAAGAAGGCCUGAGGGUUGUAAAGCACUUUCAGUGGGGAGGAGGGUUGAUAGGUUAAGAGCUARUUAAUUGGACGUUACCCACAGAAGAAGCACCGGCUAACUCCGUGCCAGCAGCCGCGGUAAUACGGAGGGUGCGAGCGUUAAUCGGAAUUACUGGGCGUAAAGGGUGCGUAGGUGGUUKAUUAAGUUAUCUGUGAAAUCCCUGGGCUUAACCUGGGCAGGUCAGAUAAGACUGUUUGACUCGAGUAUGG
rnacentral:rRNA from 1 species